ensembl:lncRNA
GAGAGUUUCUGCACCAUCUGCCCUGGGACUGUUCCUCUCAGUAAUCCAAGUCUGACAACGGCAAGGGCCAAAAUACUCACCAGUGAUGGUGUUGUGAAUGAUGUUUCUACAUUUUGCAAGAAAUGUGAGGACUGUGGCAUGCUCUACCGUUACCAGGAGUUCAAGGAUGGGGUUCCUAACUUCAAUGAUCAUCAUCUCCUUGGACUGCAUUUCUGUCUGUUAUUGAGGUCCCAGCUCCAGACUAAUCAAGCUGUUGGAAGCGCUGUCCAGUCCCUGGAGCAACUGACCGAGACAAAGUUCCCUCCAGUUGACAGCAUCAUGCAUGAACUAUUCUUCAACGCUGAUCCUGCCUGCUUCAGACCUCUCGCCUGUCUGACCACCCGCCUGUCGUCGAGUCCCUGCCGGCCUGUCUGCUUCCCUGUUUCCUGCUCCUCGUCUGCCUGGCUGCCCUCCUGUUGCUGACCCCUCGCCUGUCUGACCACCCGCCUGUUGUCAAGUCCCUGCCGGCCUGUCUGCUUCCCAGUCUCCUGCCCCUUGCCUACCUGUCUGCCCUCCCGUUGCCGACCCCUUGCCUGCUCACUCCUCGUCUUGUUCCGGUAAUCUUGGAAUCCGUUUCUGGACAAUAAAACCGUUGAACACCGGUCUCGGUCUGUGCUGUUCUUGGGUCCAACCUCACGUCCCAUUACAGCUGUUUGUUGCGGUGACCACCCACCCACUGUGGUAAAGGACCUUCAUAAGAAUGGCGUUUUCCAGCUGACGGGUACAUUCUUUUUGCACUAAAUACAAAUAUAUUUCUAUGUCGA